rnacentral:rRNA from 1 species
GUGGGGAAUCUUGCGCAAUGGGCGAAAGCCUGACGCAGCCAUGCCGCGUGAAUGAUGAAGGUCUUAGGAUUGUAAAAUUCUUUCACCGGGGACGAUAAUGACGGUACCCGGAGAAGAAGCCCCGGCUAACUUCGUGCCAGCAGCCGCGGUAAUACGAAGGGGGCUAGCGUUGCUCGGAAUUACUGGGCGGAAAGGGCGCGUAGGCGGACAGUUUAGUCAGAGGUGAAAGCCUAGGGCUCAACCUUGGAAUUGCCUUUGAUACUGGCUGUCUUGAGUACGGGAGAGGUGAGUGGAACUCCGAGUGUAGAGGUGAAAUUCGUAGAUAUUCGGAAGAACACCAGUGGCGAAGGCGACUCACUGGCCCGUUACUGACGCUGAGGCGCGAAAGCGUGGGGAGCAAACAGGAUUAGAUACCCGGGUAGUCC